rnacentral:lncRNA from 1 species
AUGGCAGCGGGCAGGGGAGGGCUCCCACAAACCGGGGAGCUCUGCCCAGAGGAUUUGGGGGCUCCCCAAACCCAGCAGCCCCAUCUCUGGGGUCACAGCACCCCCAGAGCCUCACGGCUGCCCGGAGACCCCCGGGCUCGUGCAGGUGGAGCCCCCGCGCCCAGCGGUGCCGGUGUCCCCGUGCCGCUCUCCGUGCGCCCACACCGGCACCCCGCGGUGCCCAGCCUGCCCGCGCCCCCCCGGCCUCGUUUCCUUUCCCCAUUUCCCCGAGCCCCCGCAGAAGAGGAAGCGGCAGAGCCCUCGGAACUGCUGCUGCUGCACAAUUUGCCGCGAGCCAUCGCUGGGAGCCGCUGGCACCCUCCCUGGCAGGGGCUGCGGGGUCUGCCGGGAAGGCGAGGCCGCGAUGGCGACGCUGCUGGAGUCCGGCGUGCGCAGCCAGCGAGUGGGUAAGUGCCGAGGGGAGGGCGGCUGAGGGGGGGGUCCGUCUGCUCCCCCCGCACACACACACACACAGGGCAGCCGCUGCCCCCACCCCCCCCCCCCCGCCCCCUGCCGCCGCGGACCCCCCCCUGCGCCCCUAAUGAGCCGCGCUCCCCCGCGCCCCAUAACCAGAACCAGCUGCUGCCGCGAAACCUGACGCCGCGCCAGCAGCGGCCCCAGCAGCGGCACCGCACGGGCCCCCCCCCCACAACACCCCCCCCCCCCCCAAAAAAAGCGGCCCCGCCCCCCCCCCCCCCCCCCCCCACAGCCCCGCAGCCCCAUCCCCGGGGACUUUCCUUUUUGUCAGGGAUCAAAUAUUCAUGCCGCAGACACGGAUACAGGGAAAGGCACUUAUGGAACAGGCGUGAAGGACGAGGCCGUGGCGAGCCGGGGAGCAGCCGAGCCCCCCCCUCGACCCCCCCCCCCGUCAUCUCCUGGGGGGGGCCCAAAGCAAAAUCCGGCCUCUGGCAGCGGCACGCACGGUGCUGAGCCCCGGUGAGCCGUGCGUGGUGCCUGCUGGUGGCUUGGCUCCUGGGAGGCAAAACAGAGGGGAACGGCCGGGACCCCCACUGCCGGCAUUGGGGUGCCCACCACCAAGCCCAGCCCCAGUUUUAGGGUCGCAGGGGACCCCCCCGCUGCAGGCUGUGGGGUUCCCAAGCAGGAUUUAGGGAGCUGCCCCUGGGGUGUCACUGGGGUCAGUGGGAGCAGGGGGGGGUUCACCUGGACGCAGAUAUUUGGGCAUCCGUGCCAGGUACCCCUGGCGGGGGUCCCGCGCCCGUCCCCAGCCCCUGUCCCCAGCACAGCCCCGUGGAGCCCCCCCCGGGCCCACAGCUGGAGCCUGCCCACCCCUCAGUUCGUGCACUCACAGGAGGGUGAUUAAUUAAUCAGCCCCUCUGCUAAUUGGAGCCAUGUGCCAGGAGGAGCGCAGCCAGCAGGGAGCCCCGGGCACGGCUCCGGCGCUUGCCCCAUC